UACGUAGGGUGCGAGCGUUUGUCCGGAAUUACUGGGCGUAAAGGGCGCGUAGGCGGCCUGACAAGUGGAAGGUGAAAUCCCUCGGCUUAACCGAGGAACUGCCCCUCCAAACUGUUUGGCUUGAGACCGGGAGAGGUGAGUGGAAUUCCCAGUGUAGCGGUGAAAUGCGUAGAUAUUGGGAGGAACACCAGUGGCGAAGGCGGCUCACUGGACCGGUACUGACGCUGAGGCGCGAAAGCGUGGGGAGCAAACGGG
rnacentral:rRNA from 1 species